AGUGAACGCUGGCGGUAGGCCUAACACAUGCAAGUCGAACGGCAGCACAGUAAGAGCUUGCUCUUACGGGUGGCGAGUGGCGGACGGGUGAGGAAUACAUCGGAAUCUACUUUUUCGUGGGGGAUAACGUAGGGAAACUUACGCUAAUACCGCAUACGACCUACGGGUGAAAGCAGGGGAUCUUCGGACCUUGCGCGAUUGAAUGAGCCGAUGUCGGAUUAGCUAGUUGGCGGGGUAAAGGCCCACCAAGGCGACGAUCCGUAGCUGGUCUGAGAGGAGGAUCGGCGACACUGGAACUGAGACACGGUCCAGACUCCUACGGGAGGCAGCAGUGGGGAAUAUUGGACAAUGGGCGCAAGCCUGAUCCAGCCAUACCGCGUGGGUGAAGAAGGCCUUCGGGUUGUAAAGCCCUUUUGUUGGGAAAGAAAAGCAGCAGGUUAAUACCCCGCUGUUCUGACGGUACCCAAAGAAUAAGCACCGGCUAACUUCGUG
rnacentral:rRNA from 1 species